AAAGCAUGCAAGUCGAGCGGCAGCACGGGUACUUGUACCUGGUGGCGAGCGGCGGACGGGUGAGUAAUGCCUAGGAAUCUGCCUGGUAGUGGGGGAUAACGUUCGGAAACGAACGCUAAUACCGCAGACGUCCUACGGGAGAAAGCAGGGGACCUUCGGGCCUUGCGCUAUCAGAUGAGCCUAGGUCGGAUUAGCUAGUUGGUGAGGUAAUGGCUCACCAAGGCGACGAUCCGUAACUGGUCUGAGAGGAUGAUCAGUCACACUGGAACUGAGACACGGUCCAGACUCCUACGGGAGGCAGCAGUGGGGAAUAUUGGACAAUGGGCGAAAGCCUGAUCCAGCCAUGCCGCGUGUGUGAAGAAGGUCUUCGGAUUGUAAAGCACUUUAAGUUGGGAGGAAGGGCAGUUACCUAAUACGUAAUUGUUUUGACGUUACCGACAGAAUAAGCACCGGCUAACUCUGUGCCAGCAGCCGCGGUAAUACAGAGGGUGCAAGCGUUAAUCGGAAUUACUGGGCGUAAAGCGCGCGUAGGUGGUUCGUUAAGUUGGAUGUGAAAUCCCCGGGCUCAACCUGGGAACUGCAUUCAAAACUGUCGAGCUAGAGUAUGGUAGAGGGUGGGUGGGAAUUUCCUGUGUAGCGGUGAAAUGCGUAGAUAUAGGAAGGAACACCAGUGGCGAAGGCGACCACCUGGACUGAUACUGACACUGAGGUGCGAAAGCGUGGGGAGCAAACAGGAUUAGAUACCCUGGUAGUCCACGCCGUAAACGAUGUCAACUAGCCGUUGGGAGCCUUGAGCUCUUAGUGGCGCAGCUAACGCAUUAAGUUGACCGCCUGGGGAGUACGGCCGCAAGGUUAAACUCAAAUGAAUUGACGGGGGCCCGCACAAGCGGUGGAAGCAUGUGGUUUAAUUCGAAGCAACGCGAAGAACCUUACAGGCUUGACAUCCAUGACUUUCCAA
rnacentral:rRNA from 1 species